GAACGAUCGUUCCCGAUUGUCCGCGGUAGAGAGAGGAUAGCAGAGAGGAAAGAAGAGAGCGCCCAGUUCGGUUCUUCAGCUCAGAGACAGAGAUCGAUUAGCUAAACAAAGUUCUGGUUUCGAAUAGUUUGGAACUCACACAGAGAGAGGAGAGAAGAAGGAGAAGAAGGAGCUCGCCCCCUUGUGAAAUCUCCUCUGCAGAGCAGGUAUUGGGACAAAUUUUAGGGUUUUUCUAGACCCCCUAUACAGAGAGGUAACGUCUUCUUCUUCUCUUCUAUUUCGUCUUCUUCUCUUCUAUUUCUUCUUCUUCUCCUUUGCUUCCUGAAUCCAUACACCUCCUGUAAUAUUCUUCUUCCCCAUUUCUUAUUGUUUCUAUGUUAUUUUAAUUUCCCUGUUGUUAACGAGUCAACCGAGUGGUGAGAGAUUUGUUGAAUCUCUUUCAUACCUUUCCCACUCAUUAUCAAACUUAGGGAUUAGAGUUGCUAUUGAAUGGAUGACCCUCCCUGAAGAAUCCCAACCCAAAACCCUGCUGCAAUAACUGAAAAUCUGGCCUUUUCUCUCUCCUACGGCAGACAUAAUUGCAGAAUUUGUUUUUCUUCAAUCUUCGACUUUUGGGUCUGUUAUUGGGUUGGAUUUGAUAGAGUUGGGGAUUACAAACAUGUUCUUAAUUUCUUCUGAGAUUUGGAGCCCUGUUUGAGGGGCUGGGUUGAUUGCAAGGAGUCUCGUUACCACUGGUUUCUUGUUAUCUAUUGUGUAGUUAAAGAGGAUAUAAACUUCCCUUAUUUAUGAGUAAGAUCCUCUACUUCACAUAUUAUACUCAAGCCAUGGUUUCUAAAUUUUAAUUUGGUUUAUCUCCAUUUCCCUUUUAAAUUCCAGAAACA